GUAAGGAAUAUUGGUCAAUGGAGGGAACUCUGAACCAGCCAUGCCGCGUGCAGGAUGACUGCCCUAUGGGUUGUAAACUGCUUUUGUCCAGGAAUAAACACCUCUACGUGUAGGGGCUUGAAUGUACUGGAAGAAUAAGGAUCGGCUAACUCCGUGCCAGCAGCCGCGGUAAUACGGAGGAUCCGAGCGUUAUCCGGAUUUAUUGGGUUUAAAGGGUGCGUAGGCGGCCUAUUAAGUCAGGGGUGAAAGACGGCAGCUUAACUGUCGCAGUGCCUUUGAUACUGAUGGGCUUGAAUGUGGUUGAAGAUGGCGGAAUGAGACAAGUAGCGGUGAAAUGCAUAGAUAUGUCUCAGAACUCCGAUUGCGAAGGCAGCUGUCUAAGUCAUUAUUGACGCUGAUGCACGAAAGCGUGGGGAUCGAACAGGAUUAGAAACCCUAGUAGUCC
rnacentral:rRNA from 1 species